GUCUAUAGCCAUGCCACCCUGAACAAGCCGGAUCUCAUCUGAUCUCGGAAGCUAAGAAGGAUCGGGCCUGGUUAGUACUUGGAUGGGAGACCACCUAGGAAGACCAGGAGCUGUAGGCA
rfam:Pteropus alecto contig15078, whole genome shotgun sequence.